rnacentral:lncRNA from 1 species
CUACAACAGAGCUUAAACUGGCUUCAGAAUUAAGAGCUUUUUAAAAAAAUGUUUCUUUUUCAGCAGUAUAGACUGAAAAGAUUCAAACAUGUUUAACCACUUGCCUUUUUUUUUUAGUGUUUUUCUCUUCCUUGGAUGCCCAAUUAGCAUUGAAAGAUAGAAAUAUUCUAUGAACUAAUUGGGAGAGAUUGUGUUGUGUUUCUCUACCUCAUCUUGUUGAUCUCUGGAGCAUUAAAAUCUAUUUAGUGUUGUCAUCAGACUGGUACUUAGGAAAUGUAAGCUAACAGCAAUCUCAAAAGUCAGGCAGUGAGGCAUAGCAACUAGGCUCUUAGUUUUUCCAAGACAGCCCCUGUGGGGCAGAGCAUAGAUGGGGGGAUAGAGAGAAGCUGUUGGCAUUAAAAUGAACUAGAGAAUCAGCGCCUAUCGAAGCAUGCUCCAUGUUAGAAGCGCAGCACAGAUACUGAAUGUACAGACAAGCAAAAAGGAAGCUUGAGAAUUUCACAUUGAAGUGAUUAUUUUAUUAAUUCAUUCUAUGUAUAUAUUGACUUGUUCAGAAUUUUUAUAACUCACUAAUCAGUAUUUUGGCACCCAGCUAUCAGUCUCAGAAAGCUUUCAGUAAAAUACAGUAAAUCCUUUUAAUAAAAGCUAUUGUUAUUGCUGAAAUUCAUAUUAUAUAUUCAGAAUGAUAGCAACUUUUUAUGCAUGAC